UACGGAAGGUGCAAGCGUUAAUCGGAAUUACUGGGCGUAAAGCGCGCGUAGGCGGCUUGGUAAGUCGGAUGUGAAAUCCCCGGGCUUAACCUGGGAACUGCAUUUGUGACUGCUUGGCUAGAGUCCGUUAGAGGGGGGUGGAAUUCCACGUGUAGCAGUGAAAUGCGUAGAGAUGUGGAGGAACACCGGUGGCGAAAGCGCUCUACUGGGCCAUAACUGACGCUGAGGCACGAAAGCGUGGGGAUCAAACAGG
rnacentral:rRNA from 1 species